GGCCCAGAUUCAAUCGCACGGACGGCCCAGAUUCAAUCAAAAACGAACGGCCCAGAUUAAAACAAAAUGAACGGCUGUGAUCAAAAGGCAAGGGGUUAUAAAUAGAACCCCCACACCAGACCACAAACCCUAGCCGCCAGCCGCUCGCCGGAGAAGACGAACCAGAGACCGACCGCUGCCACCCGCCGCCACUCGCCGCCGCACCGGGGAAAUUUCCGACCGCCGAUCGAGGUAAAUUUCAUACCCCCGACUCGUUUUUCCCCACUGAUUCCUCCUAUGCCCAAAUCGAAGCCGAAAUCCCGGCCAAACGGCCGGAAUACGCGGCCGAAGCCCAGCGGCGCCGCCGCGCCCCCUCUCGGUUUUUGCCUCCGACGAGGCCCUUCCCGGCCUCCGUUCGAUGCAAUUUUUAUAUCACCGUGAUCACCAUUCUUUUCUCUACAGGUUGACCGGAGCCGAAUCACCAAAACACGAACCUCGCCGGAGAGCCGCUGCACCCGAGAGCGCCGCCGCCG
rnacentral:lncRNA from 1 species